GAUGAACGCUGGCGGCGUGCCUAAUACAUGCAAGUCGAGCGAACGGACGAGAAGCUUGCUUCUCUGAUGUUAGCGGCGGACGGGUGAGUAACACGUGGAUAACCUACCUAUAAGACUGGGAUAACUUCGGGAAACCGGAGCUAAUACCGGAUAAUAUUUUGAACCGCAUGGUUCAAAAGUGAAAGACGGUCUUGCUGUCACUUAUAGAUGGAUCCGCGCUGCAUUAGCUAGUUGGUAAGGUAACGGCUUACCAAGGCAACGAUGCAUAGCCGACCUGAGAGGGUGAUCGGCCACACUGGAACUGAGACACGGUCCAGACUCCUACGGGAGGCAGCAGUAGGGAAUCUUCCGCAAUGGGCGAAAGCCUGACGGAGCAACGCCGCGUGAGUGAUGAAGGUCUUCGGAUCGUAAAACUCUGUUAUUAGGGAAGAACAUAUGUGUAAGUAACUGUGCACAUCUUGACGGUACCUAAUCAGAAAGCCACGGCUAACUACGUGCCAGCAGCCGCGGUAAUACGUAGGUGGCAAGCGUUAUCCGGAAUUAUUGGGCGUAAAGCGCGCGUAGCGGUUUUUUAAGUCUGAUGUGAAAGCCCACGGCUCAACCGUGGAGGGUCAUUGGAAACUGGAAAACUUGAGUGCAGAAGAGGAAAGUGGAAUUCCAUGUGUAGCGGUGAAAUGCGCAGAGAUAUGGAGGAACACCAGUGGCGAAGGCGACUUUCUGGUCUGUAACUGACGCUGAUGUGCGAAAGCGUGGGGAUCAAACAGGAUUAGAUACCCUGGUAGUCCACGCCGUAAACGAUGAGUGCUAAGUGUUAGGGGGUUUCCGCCCCUUAGUGCUGCAGCUAACGCAUUAAGCACUCCGCCUGGGGAGUACGACCGCAAGGUUGAAACUCAAAGGAAUUGACGGGGACCCGCACAAGCGGUGGAGCAUGUGGUUUAAUUCGAAGCAACGCGAAGAACCUUACCAAAUCUUGACAUCCUUUGACAACUCUAGAGAUAGAGCCUUCCCCUUCGGGGGACAAAGUGACAGGUGGUGCAUGGUUGUCGUCAGCUCGUGUCGUGAGAUGUUGGGUUAAGUCCCGCAACGAGCGCAACCCUUAAGCUUAGUUGCCAUCAUUAAGUUGGGCACUCUAAGUUGACUGCCGGUGACAAACCGGAGGAAGGUGGGGAUGACGUCAAAUCAUCAUGCCCCUUAUGAUUUGGGCUACACACGUGCUACAAUGGACAAUACAAAGGGCAGCAAAACCGCGAGGUCAAGCAAAUCCCAUAAAGUUGUUCUCAGUUCGGAUUGUAGUCUGCAACUCGACUACAUGAAGCUGGAAUCGCUAGUAAUCGUAGAUCAGCAUGCUACGGUGAAUACGUUCCCGGGUCU
rnacentral:rRNA from 1 species